rnacentral:rRNA from 1 species
GCACAAGCGGUGGAUGAUGUGGUUUAAUUCGAUGCAACGCGAAAACCUUACCCACCUUUGACAUGGCAGGAAUCCUGAAGAGAUUUGGGAGUGCUCGAAAGAGAACCUGCACACAGGUGCUGCAUGGCUGUCGUCAGCUCGUGUCGUGAGAUGUUGGGUUAAGUCCCGCAACGAGCGCAACCCUUGCCAUUAGUUGCUACGAAAGGGCACUCUAAUGGGACUGCCGGUGACAAACCGGAGGAAGGUGGGGAUGACGUCAAGUCCUCAUGGCCCUUAUAGGUGGGGCUACACACGUCAUACAAUGGCCGGUACAGAGGGUAGCCAACCCGCGAGGGGGAGCCAAUCCCACAAAGCCGGUCGUAGUCCGGAUCGCAGUCUGCAACUCGACUGCGUGAAGUCGGAAUCGCUAGUAAUCGUGGAUCAGAAUGUCACGGUGAAUACGUUCCCGGGUCUU